AGCAACAGAGACAAUCCCUGCCCAACAACAGGCUCACAGUCUAGAAGUGGGGAGACAGACAUCAAAACAAAUAGUUGGACUUCCUAUAGAGUUAUGAGAAGAAUCAAUCAAUAGUAUUUAUUGAGUGCUUACCAAGUGCCAAGCACUGUACUGAGCACUUGGGAGAGUUCAAGAAAUGAAUGAUACUUGGGAAAAUGGAAAAAGCUCUUCCCUUUCCACCAGAACAGGCCCCUGUGGGUAGGAAGGGUGAGGAUGCCAUCAUCAGGUCCUAAGUGUCUGGAGAAGGAAGGUUUGGUCUUCUCUGCAGAAAAAGCCUAGAUGUUCCACCUGCACCAGCUAAGGUUAGGCUUCGCUGCUGUCUGCGUGGGACGUGGACAAGGUUUCGGACAAGGCCACAGAGACCAGCCUGCUGUCCAGGUGGAAUGGGGAAAGGGACACGGACAAGACCACGGAGACCAGCUUGCCAUCCAGGUGGAAGGGCAGAAUCAUGGACCACGGAGAACAGCCUGCCAUCCAGGUUUUGAACCACCUGUUCCUUGUACGUCUUCAUGGGGGCAGGCUGCCAGGGUGGGAACAACAGGUUAGGUGAGGCUGCAAGCAGCACCAGCCACCCUCUUCAGAUCAUCGACGACCAUGCUGAUGCCUGUUGCUACCGCCGUCCUACUCAUUCUCUACUAUCAGGGGCUGCCACGAAGCCUGGGAAAUGCCUGGCGUCGGCUUGAUUCUUUUGUGAGAACUGUGACGUGUGAAAUGCUCUGCCUCGCCACACCUUUCUGCAAGAAUCAGCCGCCAGGCCCCGUCCUUUGGGACACUAAGACGGUGGAUUUGGGGGAGUUGUCCACCAGCAAAUUCCUUCCCCAGAGGCGGAUUUCCAAGGUCAGGCUCUUCAACGCAGCUAUGCGAGGAAGACUGAGAGCCCCCACCCAUGGAGGAAUCAGGGGCCGAUGGGCGCUGGACCUCGGGAAAGAUGGGAGUGGGAUGACGGCAGCCCCAAUCCACUUCUCUGUCAAUUUUAUUUUCCCGUCUGAUCUGUUCCCUGGUCUGUUCCCUGCCCAGUACGAAUACAGUCCUGGAUGCCUUUA